rnacentral:misc_RNA from 1 species
UUAUUGAUUAUAGUAUUUUACGUUCAUUACACAAAAGUUUGUAAAAAUUUGGCCGAAGCCAACAGUUCACAGUGUUAUGGAUAUUAUGCUCGCCUUACGGCUCGCUCAUAAAUGAUCCUUCCGCAGGUUCACCUACGGAAA